GGGUUGUGAGGUUAAGCGACUAAGCGUACACGGUGGAUGCCCUGGCAGUCAGAGGCGAUGAAGGGCGUGCUAAUCUGCGAUAAGCGCCGGUAAGGUGAUAUGAACCGUUAUAACCGGCGAUACCCGAAUGGGGAAACCCAGUGUGAUUCGUCACACUAUCAUUAACUGAAUCCAUAGGUUAAUGAGGCGAACCGGGGGAACUGAAACAUCUAAGUACCCCGAGGAAAAGAAAUCAACCGAGAUUCCCCCAGUAGCGGCGAGCGAACGGGGAGGAGCCCAGAGCCUGAAUCAGCAUGUGUGUUAGUGGAAGCGUCUGGAAAGGCGCGCGAUACAGGGUGACAGCCCCGUACACAAAAGCGCAUGUGCUGUGAGCUCGAUGAGUAGGGCGGGACACGUGGUAUCCUGUCUGAAUAUGGGGGGACCAUCCUCCAAGGCUAAAUACUCCUGACUGACCGAUAGUGAACCAGUACCGUGAGGGAAAGGCGAAAAGAACCCCGGCGAGGGGAGUGAAAAAGAACCUGAAACCGUGUACGUACAAGCAGUGGGAGCAAAGAA
rnacentral:rRNA from 1 species